rnacentral:rRNA from 1 species
AAUGAACGUUGGCGGCAUGGAUUAGGCAUGCAAGUCGCGCGACAAGCCUCGUUUAGCUUGCUAUUUGAGGUGGAGGAGCGGCGAAAGGGAGAGUAACGGGUGGAUUAUCUACCCUCGGGUCUGGGAUAGCUGCGGGAAACUGCAGGUAAUACCGGAUAACAUCUGCGGAUCAAAGGUGCGAUUCCGCCCGGGGAUGAGUCCGCCUCCUAUUAGCUUGUUGGUGGGGUAACGGCCUACCAAGGCUACGAUGGGUACCGGGUGUGAGAGCAUGGCCCGGCUCACUGGGACUGAGACACUGCCCAGACACCUACGGGUGGCUGCAGUCGAGAAUCUUCGGCAAUGGGCGCAAGCCUGACCGAGCGAUGCCGCGUGCGGGAUGAAGGCCCUCGGGUUGUAAACCGCUGUCAGUUGGGAGGAAAUCUAUAGGGGCAAUCUCCUAUAGUUGACCUAUCUUCAGAGGAAGGACGGGCUAAGUUCGUG